rnacentral:lncRNA from 1 species
CGGCCCCAAAAUAUAGCAGUUUUACAAAAUUGUUAAAAUAUAAACUUUUAGUGGCUUAUUAGACAGUAGAAUGCUGCUUCUACAUAAAUUUGGGCUCUUUUUGACAAUACAAUGCACAUAUAUCGGGUAUUAGCACCAUUAAGUCAUGCUAAAUUACUGAAAUCUUCACAAUUCUAGCAUUUUAGUUAAAUUUUAGACAGUUUUCGUGUAAAACGAAAGUGGCCGCAUUUGUGUUCAUCCUUAAUAUUGAAAUGUAAGUUGUAUUUUAUGAUAAUACAUAACAUAUAUAAAGGUUGAGGAUGAACACGGAUG